UGGACGAACGCUGGCGGCGUGCUUAACACAUGCAAGUCGAACGGAGCACCCUUGACUGAGGUUUCGGCCAAAUGAUAGGAAUGCUUAGUGGCGGACUGGUGAGUAACGCGUGAGGAACCUGCCUUUCAGAGGGGGACAACAGUUGGAAACGACUGCUAAUACCGCAUGACACAUAGGGAUCGCAUGGUCUUUAUGUCAAAGAUUUAUCGCUGAAAGAUGGCCUCGCGUCUGAUUAGCUAGUUGGUGAGGUAACGGCCCACCAAGGCGACGAUCAGUAGCCGGACUGAGAGGUUGACCGGCCACAUUGGGACCGAGAUACGGCCCAGACUCCUACGGGAGGCAGCAGUGGGGAAUAUUGGGCAAUGGGCGCAAGCCUGACCCAGCAACGCCGCGUGAAGGAAGAAGGCUUUCGGGUUGUAAACUUCUUUUAAGUGGGAAGAGCAGAAGACGGUACCACUUGAAUAAGCCACGGCUAACUACGUGCCAGCAGCCGCGGUAAUACGUAGGUGGCAAGCGUUGUCCGGAUUUACUGGGUGUAAAGGGCGUGCAGCCGGGCAUGCAAGUCAGAUGUGAAAUCUCAGGGCUUAACCCUGAAACUGCAUUUGAAACUGUAUGUCUUGAGUGCCGGAGAGGUAAUCGGAAUUCCUUGUGUAGCGGUGAAAUGCGUAGAUAUAAGGAAGAACACCAGUGGCGAAGGCGGAUUACUGGACGGUAACUGACGGUGAGGCGCGAAAGCGUGGGGAGCGAACAGGAUUAGAUACCCUGGUAGUCCACGCUGUAAACCAUGGAUACUAGGUGUGCCGGGACUGACCCCCUGCGUGCCGCAGUUAACACAAUAAGUAUCCCCCCUGGGGGAGUACGAUCCCCAGGUUGAAACUCAAAGGAAAUUGACGGGGGUCCGCUCAAGCGGUGGAUUAUGUGGUUUAAUUCGAAGCAACGCGAAGAACCUUACCAGGUCUUGACAUCCUGCUAACGAAGUAGAGAUACAUUAGGUGCCUUUUGGGGAAAGCAGAGACAGGUGGUGCAUGGUUGUCGUCAGCUCGUGUCGUGAGAUGUUGGGUUAAGUCCCGCAACGAGCGCGACCCCUAUU
rnacentral:rRNA from 1 species